AUGCAGGGAGGGAAAAGUUCAGAAGCAGCUACAGGGGACAAAAGCCCAUUUUUACUAGUUCAACAGGACAGGACAUUCAAUAAACCCAGCCCGCUCUGGAAACGGGUCGGGGCUCCAGUUGGCUCCACAGAGGCAGAAGUAGCCCCUGCCGCCGCCCUCGCCACGGCAGCCGCCGCCGCCGCGGCCCCUGCGUUACUGGGGGAGACGGUGCCGCUGCGACAGGGGAGGACGCGGCUGGAGCUCAAGGAGGCUCCAUCGCGCAGGCGCCGCCGAGCCCUGCCUGGAUGCUCAGUCAAGGCACUAAGGCAAAAAAAAAAUCAGCAAUUUAUAGAAAGAAGAAGCUAUAGUCUGUCGGGAUAUCCAACACCAACAGUAGGGCUUAUUGAGAGCUCCAUUUCUGGAAAGCGUUGCAAGACUGAGGAAUAUCGGACUGCGAAUCACCGGGAACAGUUCCCUUGCAGCACAGAAGCAAUCUCUCUCCCCAUCUUCGCAUAUUCUGAUGGCAAAUCAAGUGAAAGAAAAGAGGAAGCAUGA
rnacentral:lncRNA from 1 species